rnacentral:lncRNA from 1 species
CAAGCUGAAAAUUCUCAUGAAUCAGUAUCUUUUUAGAUGUGUUGGAUGCUCACUUACAUAAUUAUUCUGUGCAGAGGUGCAAGCAUUUUAAAAUUGGUGGAGACAAGAAGGGCAAGGGAACGUCUCUUUUCUAAACUACCUACUGGAUACUGAAGUUGUGGGUCUACUGUGCUUCAUACUUCAAUGUUAUUAGGAGCUUAAUUUAAGCAGACCAUAUCAUGUAUUCAAGUACUCUAGCAAGGAUUGGCUUUCUGCUGAAUCAAGUUUUGUUGCUUAAUGCUCAUUGAAUCCAAUGUGAUGCAUGUGUUUAUGUUGCACUGCAAUUUUGUCUUAUGGCAGUUUUAUCUCCCUAAGUACUCGGUGUCUGUUUUUCGUUAUCUUACCUAUGUUUGCAAUCCUAGAGCGACCCACUUAAACGAAUUCCUGUGACAUGAAUCCCUGAGAGGUUAGUCUGAUGAACUUCCAUUUUUCAGACUGAAUUUCGUAUAUGGUUAACUAUACUAUGUUUUGUUCAAUAUCUUCGUCACGAGAUAGAAGGUAUGGAAUACCAUGGAUGGAGGUGAAUUGUAAGAUAGGCCUUGGUCUUGUGAUUGUUAUCUUAGAAGGUCGAUACUAAUGUUUGGUCUUGUGGCGUUAGUGAAACUGUUUUCGUAGCAAUGUUUGGUCUUGUGAUGUUAGUGAACUGUUUUCGUAGCAUUGUAGUACUUGUUCCAUUCUUCAUGCAUGAUUUGGAUAGGUUAUUGACAAUUGUUUAUAGUAAUGAAUUAAAUAUUACACUCCUAAAUCUAUUAUAUAAUUAAAGGAAUAGAAAAAAGAGCCUCCACGUUUACUCUCAUGGCUUAGAAAUUCUCACAUUAAUCGGAGAAAAAAAAACAGAGUCCAUAUAGAAAUACAAUUUAGAAAUAGCUGAAAUUCGGAAUUAAAAAAUAAGGAAUAUUAGAAGAGAAGACUAGAGUUCAUAUAGAAAUACACUUUAGAAAUAGUUGAAAUUUGGAAUUAAAAAAUAAGGAAUAUUAGAAGAGGAGUAUAGAGUCCAUAUAGAAAUACAAUUAGGAAAUAAUAGAAAUUCGGAAUUAAAAAUAAAGAAUAUUAGAAGUAGAGUAUAGAGUCCAUAUAGAAAUACAAUUAGGAAAUAAUAGAAAUUCUGAAUUAAAAAUAAGGAAUAUUAGAAGUAGAGUAUAAAGUCCAUAUAGAAAUACAAUUAAGAAAAAAUAGAAAUUCAGAAUUAAAAAAUAAGAAAUAUUAGAAGUAGAGUAUAGAGUCCAUAUAGGAAUUUAAAACUAACUAAAAUUCGGAAAAAAAAAGGAGCCUCUACGUUCGCUCCCAUGGCCUAGAAAUUCUCACAUUAAUCGAAGAAAAAGAAAAAAACAGAGUUCAUAUAGAAAUACAAUUUAGAAAUAGCUGAAAUUCAGAAUUAAAAAUAAGGAAUAUUAGAAGAGGAGACUAGAGUCCAUAUAGAAAUACACUUUAGAAAUAGCUGAAAUUCGGAAUUAAAAAAAGAAAUAUUAGAAUAGGAGUAUAGAGUCCAUAUAGAAAUACAAUUAGGAAAUAGUUGAAAUUCGGAAUUAAAAAUAAGGAAUAUUAGAAGUAGAGUAUAGAGUCCAUAUAGAAAUACAAUUAGGAAAUAAUUGAAAUUCGGAAUUAAAAAUAAGGAAUAUUAGAAGUAGAGUAUAGAGUCCAUAUAGAAAUACAAUUAGGAAAUAACUGAAAUUCGGAAUUAAAAAUAAGGAAUAUUAGAAGUAGAGCAUAGAGUCCAUAUAGAAAUACAAUUAAGAAAAAAAAUAGAAAUUUGGAAUUAAAAAUAAGAAAUAUUAGAAGUAGAGUAUAGAGUCCAUAUAGGAAUUUCAAACUAACUAAAAUUCGGAAAAAAAAAGGAGCCUUCACGUUCGCUCUCAUGAUCUAGAAAUUCUCACAUUAAUCGGAGAAAAAGAAAAAGCAGAAUCUAUAUAGAAAUACAAUUUAGAAAUAGCUGAAAUUCGGAAUUAAAAAAAAGAAAUAUUAAAAGAGGAGACUAGAGUCCAUAUAGAAAUACAAUUUAGAAAUAGUUGAAAUUCGGAAUUAAAAAAUAAGGAAUAUUAGAAGUGGAGACUAGAGUCCAUAUAGAAAUACAAUUAGGAAAUAACUGAAAUUCGAAAUUAAAAAUAAGGAAUAUUAGAAGUAGAGUAUAGAGUACAUAUAGAAAUACAAUUAGGAAAUAACCGAAAUUUGGAAUUAAAAAUAAGAAAUAUUAGAAGUAGAGUAUAGAGUCCUUAUAGAAAUACAAUUAAGAAAAAAAAUAGAAAUUUGGAAUUAAAAAAUAAGGAAUAUUAGAAGUAGAAUAUAGAGUUCAUAUUGGAAUUUAAAACCAACUAAAAUUCGGAAUAAAAAGGAGCUUUCAGGUUCGCUCUCAUGGCAUAGAAAUUCUCACAUUAAUCAGAGAAAAAGAAAAAACAGAGUCCAUAUAGAAAUACAAUUUAGAAAUAGCUGAAAUUCAGAAUUAAAAAAUAAGAAAUAUUAGAAGAGGAGACUAGAGUAGUUAUUACACAUUAGUAGUUUUGAAAAGUUAUUGCAAAAUUUAAAAUUAUGUUGUCAUUGUAAUAUAUUAUAAUAAUAUAAUGAGAAAACAUAUAUGCUAUUAUAUGAGAGAAAAUAUAAUGAUGCUAGCCGCGCAAUAUGCGCAGGCCACCAUGCUAGUUAUUAUAAACCGAAUAAAUAGCUUAGAACGAGCCAGGCAAUGCUGAUGUAGAAAAUUUCUAGUUUGAGAACAGUGGUAUGCAUAUCCCGAAGUUCAUAAGCUGAAAAGAUUGCACCCUAAAUCUAAUGUAUUGUAAUUUUCCUGUACUGAAAAUGCUGAGGGGGGGACUACAAGGAGCCAAGCCGAGGCCCGUCACCGCCCUCACGGACGACACGUCGCCAGACAGCACCGCUAGCGACUGCCCUCCGCGGCCAAGGAGCACGACCGCUCCUUCGCCGGGAACAGCACACCGUCGCCGGGACACACGCCGCCGCACCGCCUCCACCACGCCCCAUCGCGCCACCGCGCACGGCAUUGUUGCUCUCCUCCGGCCAGGUCCAAAAGCAGGGUGCCAGAUCCAGCCACGGGGGCGCCAGAUCCGAAGCUUCGCGCCGCGCUGAUGUCAGCCCCCACCUAUCACGCGCCGCGUCAUCAUCCUCACGCUGAGCCGUCGCGUCGCCGAGGAAUGGCCUCGCCGCCGCCCUCACAGUUGGCCGCGCGGAACUCCGGUGGCGCGCUCCGGCGGCGGCGAGGGGGGAGAGGAAGGGAGGGGGCGGCGGGGGCUAGGGUUCACCCCCUGUGCCGCUCGCGUGAGAGGGCGACGCGGGGGUCGUGCCGGCUUCGUACUCUUCCAAUUGAGGAUAAGAUGAACUGAUGUGAUAAGUAGUACGGGAUUGUACUUAUUUUAAAACAAAAUUUGAAUAUAAAAUCAUACUUAUUUUAGAAGGAUUGUAGUAUUUGGACUUGGGAGUAAUUUUACUGUUCUUGGUAUUAGAAGGUACCAUUUCUUUUAUAUAAAACUUGGUAUUUCUCGAGGUAUAAAAAACAUACGGUUAGGACCGUAACGAACUGUGUUAGCUGUAGGUUUGCAUCUGUUCCCAAGGUGAUUUAAUUUGAGCAAUUGCAAAUAGCUUUUUCUUCUUUCACUCGGCAGCUGAAUCUUGCUUGGUGGAGUACUCGGGCCGUGCACGUUCAUCCACGGGUUUGAUUUGACAUUGGUCAUGAGCGCGUUUUAGUGGACAAAGUGGUGGUUAGCAUAGUGAAAUUGUCAACGCGAGAAGCAGAAACCAAUUGCUGUUGCUGUCGCCGGUACCAAUACUGUAUGGUGUUCCUGUUCCAUCAGAAUUCAGUCGAGUGCAUGGCAGCUCAUUCUUGUGGCCCAUCACACAAUUAAUCUCCGACGAUGUACUGUACGUAGUGGAGCAUUUAGAUUAGUAAUUCUCGAAUACAUUUUCGUAAGGGUUAAGUGGGCAUAUGUAACGUGUUCACUCCUUGUUACUAUCUCUGUUUUCAGAUGAGUGACAUCAUCAGCAUAGUCCGCAAUACACAUUUUAUCAUCAUAACAAUUUUACACUAUAAAAAACGAUUUUUCGUGAUGUUACCCUAUAUUUUACGCUGGCGUCCAUAUGCAAAAACCGCCAAAAAAACAUAACAAUAGGUGGGGGGCUACGGACCACCAGCAGAAACCAAUUUUUGCUGAUAACCACGCUAAGAGAAAUGCCUAAAAAAACUACUCUAUUUUUCGAGACGAACCUCUUAAGUGUCUGCCAGUUUUUCGAGGCGGACCUCUUAAGUGUCCGCCAGCGAAAAAUCUCAUUUUCACCGGCAGUAGGUAAGGAGGACCACUGCGAAAAAUGUUUUGGGCGAAUAUAUAAAUCUACUGUCCCCCACCCCCACCGCUCCCUUCUCCCUUCCCCCACUGCGCGGCCCCUCCGCCGCCUCUCUUCCUUCUCUCUCGGUUUCACCUUCUUCCUCCCUUCUCCACCGCCGCCGGCUGCCGUCGCCUCUACCGCCUCUCCGCGGUGGUGGGGCGUGGCCUCCUCCUCUCCACCGCUAGCCGCCAUAAGCUCGGGGCCGGAUUCGGCCGCUGCGACGAUGGUGGAGGCCGGAUCUGCCGCCGCGACGACGGGGGAGGCUAGAUCCGUCGCCGCGACCGCCGCAGGGCCACUAGUCUCUAAAGACUAAACUAUAUAUUUAAAAAAACAUUACCAAUAUAACUUUAUGAAAGAGAGUUUCUCAUAAAAAAAAAUAUACCAAUAUAACUUUUCAUAUUUUAAAUAUUUUUACGUCUAUUAAAUUUUUAAGGUUUCAAGAUUUGACUGCACUUACAGGAGAUACUACUAUACAAGAAUCAACGAGAAACGAAUUUUUAAGUUGCGAUAAACUGGUAGUAGUAAGAUUUUGUGAACAAGGAUAAUGCAUAUCUGUGUAAAAAAAAUAUAUAGUGCAAAUCACAUAUACAUUGAAAAUCUAGAAACUAUUGUCACGAGUAAAAUUUUUACCAACCAAACGGCCACAAUGUCGCGCAGGGCUUAUCCGGGGCACUACUGCCCAUGGGCUGAAAGUGCGGCCACAAGCCCACAAUAUCUUGCGGGGCUUAGCCGGGGCACCACGGCCCAUGGGCUCUAUCUCCCUCACCAGUAAAGCCCUAGCCUCCAAGACCGCACCCGUAUAAAGCUGCAGACCUCUCUCUCCUUCUCCUCCCCCGCCACCGCCGCUCGCCUCCGAAACCCUAGCCGCCCCCUCCCCGCGGCCGCGAAAAUGGUACGCUUCUCCCUCCUCCUCCUCCUCCUCCUCCCCUCCGCCGCACGACGGGAAGAUCGCACGCGUGCUUGUCCUCGUGCCAGUCCACGGCUCCGCGCGCCGUCUUUCUCAUGGUGUUUCACAAUUUGUAGGAUGCGUUCUUUAUUCAUGUUGAUCUGCCGUAGAUGGGGGGAUCUUGAGCCGGAGGAGAGGAGUAGCUAGUUUCUUUGAUUAUGCGUUUUGGGGUCUAGCGGAUUUUAACAUGAGAUGGUUUCUCUUUAGCGACAUUUUUUUUGUUCAUGUUGAUGUCCACGGUGAUUGUUCUAGUUAUGUCAUUUUUAUCUUCAAGACUUCAAUGCUUUGAAUCGUGGGUAUAGACCAGAUUAUUGUCGUGAAGAUCGACGUAUUUUCCGAGCUGACCCUCUGCAUGCUGAAAAUUUUGUAGUGGGUUAUAUCUAGAUUAUAUGUGUAUUGUUGUCAUUUAAUUAGCACUUAAACUUCUGUAGUAUGAACAUUUUCAUCAUUUUCCUGUGAGGACAUGGGAUGAGUUCCUUUUUUUUUCUCUUGUUCUAAAAUUGUUCGGUAAUCUUGUCUGGCUUUGACUGAUGGGCUCCGAUGAUGGCAUGAAAUCUUUGAGACCUGACAUUCUUGUGAUGACAAACAUAAGCAUAUUUCCUGAGACCCAAUUGAGGUUUUAACCAUUGGUUUGCUGAAUGUGUCUUCACUGUUGAAAAAUUUGUACACACAUUUGCUUCAAAUUAUGCACAUUUGAUUAUUGUUUAUAGGCCUGCGAUGUCCAUUCCACAUUCAGUAUUUGUUAAGCUGAGUGCUUUUGUUUCAAAUUUGUUUUGUAUAGGUGAACGUUCCCAAGACCAAGAAGACCUACUGCAAGAACAAGGAGUGCAGGAAGCACACCCUUCACAAGGUCACUCAGUACAAGAAGGGUAAGGACAGCCUGUCUGCCCAGGGAAAGCGCCGUUAUGACCGAAAGCAGUCAGGAUAUGGUGGUCAGACCAAGCCUGUUUUCCACAAGAAGGUACUGUGACAGUUUAUAUAUGAUUAUGCAGUGUUGUGUGUGACUCUCUGUUCAUUAGAAACGUACGGUGUCAUGAUUGAUGUAGCAGUGAUAUGUGUCUGUACAAUGCAUGUGGCAAUAACCAUCACGUAGUUUUAAUUGCAUGUGGCUUUCAGCUGUGCAUUUUUCAUGUUAUGAUACAUGGUUCCUGUUUUCAGGCAAAAACCACCAAGAAGAUCGUGCUGAAGCUGCAAUGCCAAAGCUGCAAGCAUUACUCCCAGCACCCCAUCAAGGUAUUAUUUCAUUGUCAAGACUCCAGAGCUGAAAAUUAUCAUGAAUCAUUAUUUUGCUGGAUGUGUUGGAUGCUCACUUGCAUAAUUGUUCUCUGCAGAGGUGCAAGCAUUUCGAGAUUGGUGGAGACAAGAAGGGCAAGGGAACAUCUCUUUUCUAAAUUGCUUGCUACCUACUGGAUACUAUAGUUGUUGGUCUACUGUGCUUCAAUAUUUCAAUGUUAUUAGGAGCUUAUUUAAGCAGACCAUAUCAAUGUAUUCAAGUAUCAUCGUCUGACAUUUACUCUAGCAAGGAUUGGCUUUCUGCUGAAUCAAGUUUUGUUGCUUAAUGCUCGUUGAAUCCAAUGUGAUGCAUGUGUUUAUAUUUUGCUGCAAUUUUAUCUUACGACAGUUCUAUUUACCUUAGUCCUCAGUAUCCCUUUUCUUUUUUUGUUAUCUUACCUGCUGUCUUUUGAUUAGUAGUUAGCAAACAUAGAGCGACCCACUUUAAUUACUUCCCGUGACAUGAAUAUGACCUCGAGAGAUUAGUCUAGUGAACUUCCUUUUUCAGACUGAAUGUUGUAUUGUUAACUGUACUGGCGUUUGGUCAGUAUCUUUCGAAAGAGAUGGAAUGUAGGGACGUAAUUUUAUUGCAAGAUAAUUCAUUUGUUCUUGUGGUUCAGUAUCUUGGAAGGUCUUGUGAUAUUAGUGAAUUCUUUUCGUAGCAUUGCAGUACUUGCUCUGUCCUUAAUGCAUGAUUCGAUAGGCUACGCAAUCCCGUUUGUAGUAAUGAAUUAAAAAUUAUAUAUUAUUAUGAACCGAAUAAAUAGCUUCGAACAAGCUAAGCAAUGCUGAUGUAGAAAAAAAUUAGUUUGAGAACCGUGGUAUAUUCCAAAGUUUGUAACUGUCAUAAGCUGCCCCCCAACCCACCCAAAAAAACCGGAUGGCAGCAAUCACAACUUAGCAUUGCUGCUCAUGGCAAUGUUCAUAUACUAUGAGUGCGGGUUAGUUCAGACUACAGACACGUGUGGUAAUUGUUUUUUUUUUAGUUUUUUAUUUUGUUUGUUAGGUGGUGUUUGGAUCCAGGGAUUAAACUUUAGUCUUUGUUUUAGAUACUAAUUUAGAGUAUUAAAUAUUGACUACUUACAAAACUAAUUACAUAAAUGAGAGCUAAUUCGUGAGACAAAUUUUUUAGGGUUAAUUGGAUAGAUGCCAUUAUAAAAUCUUUAGUUUUGAAAUAUACCGUUACUAUUAAACUAUUUAGAAACAUGCCAUUACAACUUUUUCAGGUAUUGGAAAUAUGUCACUGUACAACCUUUGGAUGUGUUUAACAAAAAUUUUAGACCAAAUCGCUCUCGUCUUCUCCUUUGUCUCCACCCUCUCCUGUUCAUCUUCUUUCUUCCAUUUCUUUCCCUUUUGGAUCUGGUAUCUUAGUAUUCUUCCUCCACAUCUCCUUUCUCGGCCAGCAACGGCGGUGUUGUGCUGCACCAUCUAGUUUCCCUUCUUCCCUUCGCUGGCCGCAUCACCACCUUCUCAGUUUCCAGCCUCCCCGAGGUCUACUGCAACAACCAAGACGCGGAGCAUGUCGUUCUUGAAUGUCCAGCACCCGGACGCCCAAGGACGUGCCCCUGUCGGUGCAGCUGGAGUCAUUCGCCUACAGCGGCUUCACCAUGGCGUGGUCCACGUCCACCGAUUACGUGCUCGUCGACGAGCGCGCCUUGUGCACAGGGCCGGUCCUGAGUUUUCAAGCUCUAGGACAAAAACUUACGUGGAGGCCCCUAUAUAUAUACAUAAACUAAUAUAUAUAUUUAUAGUCUUAUAAACAUGUAAUAUUUAAUAUUUGAUAUGAUAAAAUUAUCUAUAUAUAAUAUUUUAAAACUUUCAAAGAGAAAUAAUAUAAUCAUAAACACUUACUUGGCACUUUCAAAAGUUUCUUCUAAAAUUUCAAUGAAAUCAUCCGAACAUUUUUUCCGUUUUCUUUUUUCGCUACCGGAUACAUAUUUUCUUGACAAUAUGAUUAAUGUUGUGCUAAAAAAUAAUCAUUAAUUAUUAAGUAGUACAAGCUAAUAAUUUUUGAUCUAUAAAGAGGAAAAAGAAAGAUAGAGAAAAUUACCUUAGACGACGACUGCGAGGCGCGAGCAGCCGAUCGGCCGAUGAGGGCGCGCCGCCGGGCGGUUGGCCUCCAAUCGACGUAGUCAGCCAGUCAUGCAGAGCCGCUGCGAUUUGCUGCCGAUUGCCGUGUUUGCGUUGCGGUUUGCCGCCGUUUACCGUUUGCAACGCGACGCGAGGCGUGAUCGAGGCGACGGGAACGGAGUCAGAUCGCUUCACUUUUCCUUCGCUCCUCUUCGUCUUCUGUCUUCGAUACCAUACAUGAUUCAGGACUGAGAGCGAUGCUGACCCUGGGGGCGUCGUGGGCCAUGGCCCAUCCGCCAUGGGGCCCCCUAAAUUUUGGGGGACUCGGGCGUGCGCACGGGCUGACCCCCCCUAGGGCCGGCCCUGCUUGUGCAUGAUCCUGACAAAGUGACUAUUACUGUGUACUCCUAAUCUCACAGCAGCAAGAAACGGGAGGAAGAAGAUGAACAACAGAACAGGAGAGAUGGGGGAGGCAAAGGAAGAAGACGGGGGCAAUUUGGUCCAAAAUUUUUGUUAGACAUAUCCAAGGGGUAUGUAAUGGUAUAUUUCCAAUACCUGAAAAAUUAUAAUGGCAUACCUCCAAAUAGUUGAGUAGUAAUGGUAUAUUUCAAAACUGAAGAAUUUACAAUGGCAUGUAUCCAAUUAACCCAAUUUUUUAAGCCUAAUUAAUUCAUAAUUAUAGAAUGUUUAUUGUAUCAUCACAUAGGCUAAUCAUGGAUUUAUUAGGCUCAAUAGAUUCGUCUCGCGAAUAAGUCCAAGAUUAUGGAUAGGUUUUGUUAAUAGUCUAUAUUUAAUACUUCUAAUUAGUGUCCAAACAUCCAAUUUGGAAGGGACUAAAAAAUUUUAGUCCAUUCCAAACACCUCCUUAUUAUUUUUAUCAAAUAGCCACGUAAGCGUCAUGUCAAUAGCACGUGGGACGAAGACCCCUAGUCAAAGGCGUCAUGUCAGCUAAAACCGGAGACAUUGCUACCGAGAGAGCUCGUUUGCACAGUUUGAAGAAGGUGUCAUGUCAGCCAAAACCAGAAAUAUUAUUACCGAGGGACCUCGUUUGCACACUUUGAAGGAUGGAUUGUAUAUGGUUUUCGGAUAAGGAUGAAAAACAGACUAAGCGACAAAGUAAGAGACCUAAAGUGAACUUAUUUGAGGGAUAAAGUCCACUUGGACUUCCUUAACUAUAAGGGAAUAAGUUCACCUGACGUCCCUUAACUUUAAGUCGAGUUCGUCUGAGGUUCCUAAUCCACAAUAAAAUCUCUACCUCUCAACUAAUCAUAAACCGUGCGAAAAAGAUCACAAAACAGACGGAGCGAUGAAGUAAGGGACCUAAAGUGAACUCAUUUUGAGGGAUAAAGUCACUUCAUAACUAUAAGGGAAUAUAAGUUCACCUGACGGCCCUCAACUUUAUGUUGAGUUUGUCUGAGGUCCCUAAUCCGCGAUAGCAAAAAUCUCUACCCCUCAACUAUCAUAAACCGUGCAAAAAAGAUCCCAAGACAAUAUUGAUCCAUUUUCUCCGGUUUUGCUGACGUGGCAUACGGUGGGACCCACAUGUCAGCGUCCUGUCUUCUCCUCUUUUCUUUUUUCUUUUUUUUUCUUCUUGUCUUUUCUUUCUUCUCUCUUCUCCUCUUCCCUUCUUCUCCUAGCCUGAGAGGCCGGCGGGCGGGCGAGCAGGCGACGGCAGGCGGUGGCGGCGGUGUGCGGAGCAGGCAAGGGGUAACGGGUGGCGGGCGAGCGACGGCGCCUCAGAGAGGGUGUGGUGUGGGCGUCGCUGUGCUGUGGCGGGCGGAGCGGGGUGGCGGCGGUGGGGUGCAGAGGACGACGACAUAUGGAAGUGAUGGCGGACGCUGUAGGGGACGAUGGCGAGGAGGACGAAGUAGGCCGGGAGAGGAUGACUCCGACGCGCUUGGGGUUUCACCAGGAGACCUCGCCUUCACCGUCUUCGUGCCCUCACCAGAGUCGUUCCACCGCGUCCUCAGGCUGCGGCGUCCCAAUAACAACGUUGCCGAUGGGUGGGUCUCACAUUUUCCUUCUAUUUCACUUACAUGUGGGACUCACAUAUUAUUUUAUUCCUAUUUUGCUAACUAGGAUGCCACGUUAGUGAAACCAAGACAUCUAUACUGCCAUAGGACAUAAAUUGAACGGUUUUGUAUAUUUGGGGUGAAGAUUUCUGGUAUUGAGGAUAAGGGAUGGCAAACAAACUCGGUGUAAAGUUGAGGGACAUCAGAUGAACUUAUUCCAACUAUAAGGCAACGCAUCACGGUGCAUGGCCCAUGGGCUGCGCAUUCUGGCCCACAAAGCAGCACACGCACCAGUAAACCCUAGCCUCCAGGAGCUCACCCGUAUAAAGUCGCAGACCUUCUCCUUCCCCUCCCCGCCGCCACUCGCCGCAGCGUGUCGACCAGACAAGGCAGCGCCUCCGAAACCCUAGCUCCCCGCCUUCCCCUCCGCGGCCGCCAAAAUGGUACGCUUCUUCCUCCUCCCCGUCCGCCUCUCUCCGCCGCACGACGGCAAGAUCAUGCGCUCGUGUGUCCUCGUGCCAGUCCACGGCACCCUGCUCUGGUCGAUUUGUAGGGGGAUUGCGUUCUUUAUUCAUGUUGAUCUGCUGUAGAUGGGGGCGAUCUUGAGCCGGAGGAGUAGCUAGUUUCUUAUUGAUGCGGUUUCGGGGUUUUUAGAGAUUUAACACGGUUUCGCGGUUUCUCUUUAGCGAUUUCUUUUUUCAUGUUGAUAUAAUGAUAUCCACGGUGGUUGUUCUAGUUAUGUCAUUUUUAUCUUGAGUGCUUUGUGUGAUUGUUUUUCAAUUGUGGGUAGAGACCAGAUUAUUGUCGUUAAGAUGCAUGCUCUGAAACGCGGAAUUUUUUUGUAAUGGGUUAUAUCUAGAUUAUGUGUAUUGCUGUCAUUCAAUAGUCUUUUCUUAAUACAAGGCGCAACCGUCUUUUCUUCAAGUACCAGUAUACAAGGCGGCAACUGCUCAACUCCGUACUUGGUGCAUGCAAGCAUUGAAUGGAUGGUUGCAUGAGCUCAUGAUAUUCGGUUCAUUAGUUUAAAGGCAAAGGAUCCACCACUCGGAUGCUUGCAUGCACGCGCAAAAACUGCAGGACACGGGUGCAUGCUGCUUUGGCACUAGAUGCGAUGAACUGAUCAAAGCGUCACGCAUUGGAACGCGCUGGAAUAAAUCGGUACGAUGGGUAGUUAUAGGUUUUCUUGUUCUCCGAGUCCAAACAAGUUAUGCCUUGUAUUAAGGAAUGGAGGGAGUAGCAAUUAACUUCUGGAGUAAACAUUUUUCAUCAUCUUCCUUGAGGACGUGGGAUGAAUUCUUUUUUUUAUCUUGUGCGAAAAUUGUUUGGUAAUCAUGUCUGGUUUUGACUGAUGGGCUCCGAUGAUGGCAUGAAAUCUUUGAGACCUGACAUUCUUGUGAUGACAAACAUAAGCAUAUUUCCUGAGGACCCAAUUGAGGUUUUAACCAUUGGUCUGCUGAAUUUGUCUUUGCUGUCGAAAAAUAUCGAUUCACAUGUGCUUCUGAUUAUGCACAUUUGAUUGUGUUGUUUAUAGGCCUGCUAUGUGCUUUCCAAUAACCAGUAUUUGUUAAAUUUGUUUCAUAUUUCUUAUGUAUAGGUGAACGUUCCCAAGACCAAGAAGACCUACUGCAAGAACAAGGAGUGCAGGAAGCACACCCUUCACAAGGUCACUCAGUACAAGAAGGGUAAGGACAGCCUGUCUGCCCAGGGAAAGCGCCGUUAUGACCGUAAGCAGUCAGGAUAUGGUGGUCAGACCAAGCCUGUUUUCCACAAGAAGGUAUUGUGACAGUUUAUAUGUGAUUACGCAGUGCUGUGUGUGAUUGUCUCUCUUCAUUAGAAACAUAUGGUGUCAUGAUUUGUGUCUGUUCAAUGCAAACAUGUGGCAAUAACCAUCAUGUAGUUUUAAUGUAUCUGACUUUCAGCUGUGCAUUUUUCAUGUUAUGAUACAUGGUUCCUGUUUUCAGGCAAAAACCACCAAGAAGAUUGUGCUGAAGCUGCAAUGCCAAAGCUGCAAGCAUUACUCCCAGCACCCCAUCAAGGUAUUAUUUCAUUGUCAAGACUCAAGCUGAAAAUUGUCAUGAAUCAAUCAGUAUCUUUUUAGAUGUGUUGGGUGCUAUCUUACAUUAUUAUUCUUUACAGAGGUGCAAGCAUUUCGAGAUUGGUGGAGACAAGAAGGGCAAGGGAACAUCUCUUUUCUAAACUACCUACUGGAUACUGAAGUUGUGGGUCUAUUGUGCUUCAUACUUCAAUGUUAUUAGGAACUUAAUUUAAGCAGACCAUAUCAUGUAUUCAAGUAUCAUCGUCUGACAUUUACUCUAGCAAGGAUUGGCUUUCUGCUGAAUCAAGUUUUCUUGCUUAAUGCUCGUCGAAUCCAAUGUGAUGCAUGUCUUUAGAUGGCACUGCAAUUGUGACUUUUGUCUUAUGGCAGUUUUAUCUCCCUAAGUCCUCAGUGUCUGUUUUUCGUUAUCUUACCCGAGUUUGCAAUCCUAGAGCGACCCACGUAAACGAAUUCCUGUGACAUGAAUCCCUGAGAGGCUAGUCUGAUGAACUUCCGUUUUUCAGAUCGAAUUUCGUAUAUGGUUAACUAUACUAUGUUUUGUUCAAUAUCUUCGUAACGAGAUGGAAGGUAUGGAAUACUAUGGAUGGAGGUGAAUUGAAAGAUAGGCCUUGGUCUUGUGAUUGUUAUCUUAGAAGGUCGAUACUAAUGUUUGGUCUUGUGGCGUUAGUGAAACUGUUUUCGUAGCAAUGUUUGGUCUUGUGAUGUUAUUGAACUGUUUUCGUAGCAUUGUAUUACUUGUUCCAUUCUUCAUGCAUGAUUUGGAUAGGUUAUUGACAAUUGUUUAUAGUAAUGAAUUAAAUAUUACACUCCUAAAUUAUUAUAAACCGAAUAAAUAGCUUAAAGCGAGCCAGGCAAUGCUGAUGUAGAAAAUUUCUAGUUUGAGAACCGUGGUAUGCAUAUCCCGAAGUUCAUAAGCUGAAAAGAUUGCACCCUAAAUCUAAUGUAUUGUAGUUUUCCUGUACUGAAAAUGCUGUUGGAUCGGACAGCCGUGGUGAUUGGUUGCGUUCAUUUUCAAGUUGUAGCCAAGUUAAAUAAAGUAUAGAAGGAUAUGCAAGUAGCAACAUCGGAGGAGUGCCAUCGCAGUGAUCCUCCCAAAAAGCACGAAAGAAACAUCUUCAUUGGAACCUAAGCAGCUCUGGCCUUUUGAGCCCAGAAAAGCUAUCCUUGAUUCAAGCACAAACCGUCAUUUGGUUAUAUGCUUUCUCCAAAUACUAGCAUGAGUAAAUUGCAUUGGCGGUACACGAACUUGCUAGGUGGAAGCAAUCUAGUACAUAAACUUAUAAAACGCUCAUUUUGAUACACGAACUUGUUAGGUGCAUGUGAAUCAAGGCCAAAAGAAAAAACAAAGCUAAUCUUAUUUUAGUGUUAAUUAGGAUACUACAUAAACACAUGUGUGAGAAAAAUGCUAAGUACAUAUACAUUUGUUCAAUAAAAAGGGGUUAAUAAGGCCUAAAGAUUGUAUGGAGAAAGACACAAAAAUACUGAGAAAUAGUGCAAGGGGUAGAACAAAGAAUAAUAAAGCACAAAUGCAUGUCUCAUGUCCACCUCCAUAUGCACAUCUCGUCCUAAUCAGUGUAUAACUUAGUAAAAUUGAUUAUGAUGUGUCAUUUUGACCUUGUUUCACAUGCAUCGAACAAAUUCAUGUACCGAAACAAGUCUUUUACAAGUUCGUGUAGUAAAGUGCAUCCAUCUGGCAAUUUACUCUACUAGCAUUUGAAGCUAAAAGGCUUUGGCCUUUUGGAGCCCAGAAAAGCUGUUCUUGAUUCCAGAACAGAUCGUCAUUUUUGGGGUAUAUGCCUCCUCCAGAAUCCUAAAAUUCUCAUUUCAUGUAAGGAAAAUCGCAAGUGUCCAACGCUGAAUCCAUCCCAGAGAUCUCAGUGAGCAAAUUGCACAGCGCCAGUUGGGACUAUUCAAGGAUUUUCAGGGCCAUGCCCUGUACCCAUCAUCCAUCACCCAGCAACAAAACAAGCCGGACCGUAGUGUGUCAAGCAUGCACUGCUUCUGCUCUCCGAUCUAACCGGUAGCCCCCAACUCAUUCUGAACCACACCUUGUGUUUUGGACCACAUCACAAAAUUCAGAAGCAGCAGCAGCAGCAGCAAAGGGUCAAGCAAAAAAUCUAACAGCUUUAUUUAGGCAGAUCCACCUCUCUACAUCAUCAUAGUCAUAGUACAAGAACUCGACGAAUUCAGAAGAAACAUUGGCAGCUACACCUAGAGAAAGAAAAAUGAAAAGAAAAGAAGAUCUAAUAUAUUACAAGGGAUCCUUGGAUAUAUGCUCAUAGCAUUGUUACAUCCCGAGCACCGAGUCGCGACUUGUGGCGAAAACGGGUGCCAUUUCCAUGCUUAUGCCAUUACUGCUUCGCCUGAAAAAAUGAGAUGUUUUUUUUUUGGUUAGAGAUUCAGACUUAUGUUCAUGAAUUGGCUCUUUUGUGAAAAAUGUGAUUUGGUAAAACAUGUGCGGAAAAUCUACCUGAGAGUAGAUGAAAGUUCCGAGAAUCGCAAUGGCGGCUCCGAGGGCGUUGAUGGGCUGGACCGGCGUGUGGAAGAUGAUGAUGGAGGCGACAAUGACGGAGAUCCGCUUCAUGGUGUUGCCGAUGCUGAAUGUCAGUGGUGAGAUCUCGUCCAAUGACAUGUAGGACACUUGGUUGUACAAGUGGUAGAACACACUCUGCGCCGCCACCCACCUACAAAACCACAGAGAAAUCCAUGGCCACAUGAAUCAGCUGGAUUAUCACACAAAAAUAUCAUCAAAUCUUUUGAUACUUCUUAUUUCUCUUUCAGAAUGAACUGAAGAAGAUAUUGCCGCUUAGGAGGAAAUGAUAGUGAUAGGACGAUCCUAUAUCUAUAUUAAUUGAUAAUGGUUCUUUUUGUAUAGAAUACUUGAGUGAUGUUACUGAAAGUACAAAGUGUUGCAUGCUGAAACUGUUUGAAAGCUUAGGUCAAGCACUUAUCACUAGAAAUUUUUUGCCCAAUUGAUACCCAAAAAUCUCAACUGACGUGAUGGUUGUGACAGUGAAACGGUGAGAAGUGGUACAAAGAAAAGCAUGUGAGGCUCACCAGACGAAGUUUGGACCGAUCUCGGCGACGGCUUUUUGCCAGCCGGCAGCCCACACCUUGGGCCCCUCCAUGGCGAAGGCGAAAGGGAGGAGGAUGACCAGCGAGAGCAUGGAGAGGCAGGCGUAGUAGUUCAUCCCGCUCACCGACUUGCCCUUCAUCCCCUUCUUGGAGAAUAUGUUCCGGAACACGAAUGCCAGGUUCGAGAUCAUCGCCCCCAUGAAUCCUGCAUCGAAUUUUCAGCAAUACACGAUGAACAGAUUGAUGUGAUGUGUCAGGUUUAUGAACAAAUUGUGCACUUUUUCGUGGCUGGUGUAUAUUUCUUUAUCUGACAUAAGAAAACAUAUCUUUGGUUAAUGGACAGUUCUUGUUCUGAAGAAUUCUUGGAGAUAAUAUCUAUUUUUUUAAUCAAAAAGUGAGGAUAUUUCUGGUGUAUCUGCUGCAAGUAUCUCCAGGAUUUCAGGUGGAGAGACAGAGAGAUGCAGAGUGUUUGCUCACUCACCAAUCAUGUUGAAAUUGAGCUCGGUGAUGGCGGCGAGGGCGCAUCCGCCGAUGAUUGGGAGGAGGGAGAAGUAGACCGGCGCCGGGAAGUGCUCGCCGAGGAAGAACCUGGAGACGAGCACGCUGAACGCCGGCUCGCCGCUCUUGAUGAUGUGGGUGAACGACACCGCCACCUUCGCCAUGCUCACCGUCGCCGCCACGUGCCCGAUGGUGUGCGCGAUCGCCACCUGCUCGUCCCACAACGAGCAAAAACGAAUCCCCAAAUCCAACGAACGCGUCAGAGAUUCAGAAUAGAACAGAAUCAAGAAGGAGGAGACGAUGGUGUCCAUGGUCAAUGCGAUCUCACCGGAGACAGGGCCUUCCAGAAAUCGAGGUCGGUGGCGGGCGCCUCGGCGAUCCUGGUGGCCCAGGAGGCGAGCAUGAUGGCGGAGCCGGCGGCGAGGGAGAGCGUGGACGUGAGCCACGGGUAAGGGAACGCGUUGAGCACCUUCUUGUUGUAGAUGUUGAAGAUCACGUUCAGCGCCCACCACGUCGCGAAGUAGACCCCGAUCUUGGCCCGCCUCGCCGCCUCCUCCGGCGCCGCGCCCGCCGGUGCAGCCUCCACCGGCCGGGCGCCGUCGGCGGUGGCGGACGGCGGCGGCGGCGCCGGUGACGCGACGCGCGACGCCAGGAAUAACGGGUCCUGCUGCCGGUACAGGGGGCGCGCCGAGAGGGAGAGGGGACGUGGCCCGGCGGCGGCGGCGGCGGCGGCGAAGAGGGGAGGGAGGUGGAGGGGCUUGAAUAAUGCCAUCUUGGGCGCCGUGGCGGUCCCGGCCGUGGAGAGCUUGACGGAGGCGGCGGCGGCGAGCAUAUUGGCGGCGGGAAUGGUGGCGCCGGCUUCUUCAGUUACAGUUACUGUGUUGUGUUGUAGCCGGCCGUCCGUACGUCUAUGGCGGCGAUGGGUUGCGGCCAUAGAGACUGCUCGCAUCGAGUCUUCUUCAAUCCGACUAUAACAAAUUGCUAGCUAGUUCCACGCCCUCCAACGCCCUUUUAGGGAAGGAAGCCUCAAAGGAGAGAGGGCCGCCGAACAAUGUGGUUGAGGACAAUCCAAGGAAAAGGGUGGAGACGAAGAGGGAGCUGGACAAAAGAUAAGUGGUAGAGGGGGGAAUCCUACAGCUAGAAGAACAUCAACCGCGUCAACAGGGAAGGCUGCAAGAAUAGUAGCCAUUCAAGCCAAAGAAAACCGUAGGCACUAACAUAAAAGACCUGACCUAAUCCAUCAAUCAAGGAGCAUGCUAAAAGGAGAUCUAGAGAGAGGGAGAGGCACUGGCAAAUCCUAAUUGAUGGAUCAGAGCCAAGCAUGUUAUGGCAAGGAGCUCGUUGGCUAGCUCAAGGGCGCCUCAAAGAGGAGGGAGGAGGAGGGAUGGGGAUGGAAGAAGGUGUUGGGCAAGGUCACCAGUCCCGCGGGGGAGGGGGGGUCCGAGGCCAGAGCCUGCCACCGGUGCCACGGAUUCGACCAGAUCCAGCCGCUAGGAGCGCAGAUCUGCACGCCACCAGUCGGGGGCGCCGGGCCUAGCCUUCAUCGCCGGCUGAGGGGGGGGGGACUAUAAGGAGCCAAGCCGAGGCCCAUCACCGCCCUCACGGACGACACGUCGCCAGACAGCACCGCUGGCGACUGCCCUCCGCGGCCAAGGAGCACGACCGCUCCUUCGCCGGGAACAGCACACCGUCGCCGGGACACACGCCGCCGCACCGCCUCCACCACGCCCCAUCGCGCCACCGCGCACGGCAUUGUUGCUCUCCUCCGGCCAGGUCCAAAAGCAGGGUGCAUUUUUCAUGUUAUGAUACAUGGUUCCUGUUUUCAGGCAAAAACCACCAAGAAGAUUGUGCUGAAGCUGCAAUGCCAAAGCUGCAAGCAUUACUCCCAGCACCCCAUCAAGGUAUUUUUGCAAUGUGAAGAUUCAAGCUGAAAAUUCUCAUGAAUCAGUAUCUUUUUAGAUGUGUUGGAUGCUCACUUACAUAAUUAUUCUGUGCAGAGGUGCAAGCAUUUUAAAAUUGGUGGAGACAAGAAGGGCAAGGGAACGUCUCUUUUCUAAACUACCUACUGGAUACUGAAGUUGUGGGUCUACUGUGCUUCAUACUUCAAUGUUAUUAGGAGCUUAAUUUAAGCAGACCAUAUCAUGUAUUCAAGUACUCUAGCAAGGAUUGGCUUUCUGCUGAAUCAAGUUUUGUUGCUUAAUGCUCAUUGAAUCCAAUGUGAUGCAUGUGUUUAUGUUGCACUGCAAUUUUGUCUUAUGGCAGUUUUAUCUCCCUAAGUACUCGGUGUCUGUUUUUCGUUAUCUUACCUAUGUUUGCAAUCCUAGAGCGACCCACUUAAACGAAUUCCUGUGACAUGAAUCCCUGAGAGGUUAGUCUGAUGAACUUCCAUUUUUCAGACUGAAUUUCGUAUAUGGUUAACUAUACUAUGUUUUGUUCAAUAUCUUCGUCACGAGAUAGAAGGUAUGGAAUACCAUGGAUGGAGGUGAAUUGUAAGAUAGGCCUUGGUCUUGUGAUUGUUAUCUUAGAAGGUCGAUACUAAUGUUUGGUCUUGUGGCGUUAGUGAAACUGUUUUCGUAGCAAUGUUUGGUCUUGUGAUGUUAGUGAACUGUUUUCGUAGCAUUGUAGUACUUGUUCCAUUCUUCAUGCAUGAUUUGGAUAGGUUAUUGACAAUUGUUUAUAGUAAUGAAUUAAAUAUUACACUCCUAAAUCUAUUAUAUAAUUAAAGGAAUAGAAAAAGGAGCCUCCACGUUUACUCUCAUGGCUUAGAAAUUCUCACAUUAAUCGGAGAAAAAAAAACAGAGUCCAUAUAGAAAUACAAUUUAGAAAUAGCUGAAAUUCGGAAUUAAAAAAUAAGGAAUAUUAGAAGAGAAGACUAGAGUUCAUAUAGAAAUACACUUUAGAAAUAGUUGAAAUUUGGAAUUAAAAAAUAAGGAAUAUUAGAAGAGGAGUAUAGAGUCCAUAUAGAAAUACAAUUAGGAAAUAAUAGAAAUUCGGAAUUAAAAAUAAAGAAUAUUAGAAGUAGAGUAUAGAGUCCAUAUAGAAAUACAAUUAGGAAAUAAUAGAAAUUCUGAAUUAAAAAUAAGGAAUAUUAGAAGUAGAGUAUAAAGUCCAUAUAGAAAUACAAUUAAGAAAAAAU